rnacentral:rRNA from 1 species
UACGAAGGGGGCUAGCGUUGCUCGGAAUUACUGGGCGUAAAGGGCGCGUAGGCGGACAGUUUAGUCAGAGGUGAAAGCCCAGGGCUCAACCUUGGAAUAGCCUUUGAUACUGGCUGUCUUGAGUUCGGGAGAGGUGAGUGGAAUGCCGAGUGUAGAGGUGAAAUUCGUAGAUAUUCGGAAGAACACCAGUGGCGAAGGCGACUCGCUGGACAGGUAUUGACGCUGAGGUGCGAAAGCGUGGGGAGCAAACAGG